rnacentral:lncRNA from 1 species
AUCAAUGUAGGUCCCUGUAAGAUACAGUAAGCACAGGAAGCCAUCGUAUCAGCCAAUACAACACUGCACGUGCCCAAUACUGAGACAAGAAAUGAAGAGUACAACCAUGCUCAAUUUGGAGUAGAACUAUGAACCGAACUUUAGAAAUCCCAAAAAACAUAAGCAUUUCAAGUGAUUGAUUUGAAAUUCGAGUUAUUUCACGGAACAACACUCAUAUAUCAAGAUCAUAAUGGUACCUAAACUUUCUAUUAGAACUUAGAAGUCAACCCGCCACAAUAGUCUUUGUCUGCUUAAUUCUUCUAAUUCAAAGGUAGUUGUGUAUACGCUAAUCAACCACAUUGUUGCAUACCCUGAAGACUUCAAAAAUGCAAAUCAUCUAUAAAAUGGGCAAUGCUAAUGCAACAUUACACAGACACCGUGUUCUAAUCAAUCCGGUUACAACUAAUCAAUCAUACUAAAACGCUUUAAAUUCAUUCAUUGCAUAACUUGAAAUACUAUACAUAUACAAGAUAGUAAGAUACAAAAGUAGAAGGAAGAUCGAGAGAGAUGAGGGUGGGAAGGGGUGUAAGUUCUAAUGAGAGCUGAACACUUGUAUCAUCUUUAGUUUGGAGACGUGAGGAUAUAAGAAAUUGGAAUUAACUAAGGUUGUAAGUUGAUAAGGAUUUUGUAUAAUUGGAGUUUCAACUAAAACAGUCACGAUAGUGUUAUAACACUUAUAAUGGAUGUGAAUGAUAGGUUUCUCGGUGAUAAGGUUAGAAUGAUUAGGAUUGUAUAAUGGGAAGAGUCCUAAUCAAUGAUCAUCGUAUACAGAUUAAAACAAGGGGUCCCUGCGCUCACUCAAACACACGCAAACGUAAAGAAUACUCAGAUCUCAUUCAUUGAGCGAUUGCAUCUAGUUGAGGAGAGUGGCAGAAGAUUCCUAGUUCCCAAGAGAUGUCUUCUUCAGGUAAGUGGUUACUUAUGGUACUGUGAUUAAUCUAUUCCACUGAUUUUAUUUACAAUCAUCUUACAUUUGGUAUCAAAGCUUUCACAUACCAAUUAACCCUAAGAAGAAAGCAUCAAGAAUUCUUUUGUGUUGCAGAUUAAAGAACUGAUAUAUAUAUUAUACAGAGAAGGAUGUCUAUGAACACAUGACAACUAAAGCUGUCUGUGUUGACGAAAGUGUUAUCAAUACCAAUAUAUAUACAUCAGUAAUGGCACUAGGAUUUGAAACAUAGACACUGAUCAUCUAAAGAAGUUCAGUUGUUUAUGUCUUGGAUUCGAAGUGGCAUAACACUUCAUAUAUCAACGUGUGAAUCAAGUCAGUUUAUAAAUCAUAAAGGUUUCUAUUCAUGACUACAGAAAACUCAUACAUUGGAUAUGAAGGUGGUAUGAUUAAGAGAAUUACUCACAUACUUCUCAAUAUAAAAUUGUUGAGUCUGUGAAAUAAAGAUGGGGAUUAAAGAUUAAUACUUUCAUUAUAUAUGAAUACAGCCAUGAACCCAAGUUCCAUGAACCUCAACACAGUUGAACAUCUCACCGGUGUCAACUAUAAGAAGUGGAAACAAGAUUUGGAGAUACUUUUGGGUGUCAUAGAUAUGGAUUUAGAGCUGAGAACGGAAGAACCACCAAUGCCAAAUGAAGGAUGCACUUCGAGCCAAAGAUCCAAGCAUGAAAAAUGGGAGAAAUCAAACAGAAUAUGCCUCAUGAUAAUCAAGAGGGCCAUGACUGAUGUAGUUCGUGGAGGCUUCCGAGAUGCAACUAAUGCAAAGGAGUUCAUGAAAUCGAUCGAAGAGAAGAACAAAGAAUCUGAAAAGACAAAAACUGGGAACUUGAUGAACUCACUGACAACCAUCAAAUACGAUGGUGAAAGGAAUGUCCGUGAAUACAUUCUCAAGGUUAUCGACAUUGCUGGGAAGCUUAGAACACUCGACAUACCCAUUUCUGAAACAUUUUUGGUCCAUGUCAUCAUGAAUUCCUUGCCUAGUUCUUAUACUCAGUUGAAAGUAUCCUAUAAUGCACUGCAAGCAAAGUGGGAUGUCAAUGAAUUAAUAUCUAUAUGUGUGGGUGAGGAAGUGAGGAUUAAGAAGGAAAAGGCUGAAAAGGAGAAGGGUGAGUCGGUGAAUUUUGUUCAAGGUUAUGCAAAGAAUGCCAAUAACUAUAACUCAGAUACUGCCAAAAGGAAUUCUUCCAGAAACAUUCCUCCCUCUAAAAGGACCUUCAAAGUUAAUAACUCAUCAGUUUUUAAGUGUUAUUUUUGCAAAAAGACAGGCCAUAUGAAGAGAAAUUAUCCUAAAUACAAGUCAUGGAUUGCCAAACAAGAGGCAAAUAAAGGUAAAAAUAAAUUUUCAAAUGUUUUUGCUUGUUUUAAGUCCAAUUUGAUUGAUACACCUAGCAAUGCUUGGUGGCUUGAUUCCGGCUCUUCUAUUCAUGUUACAAAUUCAUUGCAGGACUUCAUAACAAAGAGAACACCAAAUAAGGAUGAAGUCAAGGUUUCAGUUGGCAAUGGAAGAAGAGUUGAAGUCAAGGCACUAGGAACUGUUAGAUUAAAAUUAGAUUUUGGUUUUUGCUUAGAGCUAGAAAACGUGGUCUAUGUACCUUCCAUGAGAAGGAAAUUGGUUUCCGUUUAUUGGGAUUUUAUUUUACUUUAAAUAAUAUUGGCUUCAAUGUUUUUUAUAAAUCUUCUCAUAUCGGCACUGGUUUUCUAUGUGACGGUAUGUUUAAAUUCAAAACCAAUUUGAUUGAAAGUGUCUUUAAUGUUGAAAAGGAAGUCAAAAUUUUGACAAAUUCUUCAAAUCUUUGGCAUAGGAGACUCGGCCACAUAUCAAAACAAAGAAUGGAACUUUUGGUUAAAAGUGACAUCUUGCCUCCAUUGAAUUUCAAUGAUUUUGAUUUUUGCAUUGAAUGUGUUAAGGGAAAAAUGGUUAAUAAACGUAAAGAGGGUCAACUAGGAGUAAGCAGCUCCUAGAAAUAAUCCAUACAGACAUAUGUGGUCCAUUCCCUACACAAACAAUCGAAGGAAAUAAAUAUUUUAUCACUUUCAUUGACGAUUAUUCUAGAUAUUGCUACAUAUAUUUGAUCCCAGAAAAAUCAAAAGCCUUGGAAGUGUUUAAAAUUUAUAAAACUGAAGUUGAAAACCAUUUGGAAAAGAAAAUUAAAAUCAUAAGGUCUAAUAGAGGUGGAGAAUAUUAUGGCAGAUAUACACAAAAUGGUAGGCAUCCAGGACCAUUUGCCUUGUUUUUACAAGACAAUGGAAUAGUGGCUCAAUACACCACCCCAGGCACACCCGAGCAGAAUGGGGUUGCAGAGAGAAGGAAUAGAACCCUAAUGGAUAUGGUAAGAAGCAUGAUUUGUAGGGUUCACUUGCCUAAAUAUUUAUGGGGAGACGCAGUAAAACUACAAAUUAUUUGUUGAAUAGAGUUCCUUCAAAAGCAGUAGAAAACACUCCAUCUGAAUUAUGGACUGGAAGAAGACCGAGCUUGAAUCAUUUACACAUCUGGGGAUGUAAAGCAGAAGCCAAAAUUUACAACCCCAGUAGUGUUAAACUUGAUCCCAAGACAAUUAGUUGUUACUUCAUUGGUUAUGCCGAGAGAUCAAAAGGGUUUAGAUUCUACUGUUCUAGCAAUCAAGGUCCGAAAAUUGUUGAGACACGGAAAGCAAUAUUUAUGGAGUAUAAUCUGGACGAUGAUUCUGGGACAAAUGAUAAUGAUUUUGUGUUUGAAGAGGAAAUAGACAUUGACACUACUAUAGAACAUGCAAAGACUUCUUAUCUCGAGGCACCAACAAUGGCAAGUGAGUUUUCAAAUCACAUGCAUAAUGACACGGAUGCAAGUGAAUUUUCAAACCACAUGCAUAAUGACAUGGAUGCAAUUGAAUUUCCAAUGCACAUGCAUGAUGACACAAAUGAAGUUGAAGGGAACAUGAAUUCUGAGCAAGGAAAUAAUGUGGGAGCCAUACCACCGAUUGAUAAUACCAAUGAUGUCAAUGAGCCUAUGGACACCGAAGCAUUAAACAUGCAAACACAACAAGGGCAAGAGGGUGGCAUAGUUGAAAAUCAACCAAUGGCUCUAAGGAAAUCAACUAGGGUAAGGAAAUCAACCGCCUUAGAAGAUUUUGUGUACAUGACUGAAGCAGCAGCCAACGACAUUGAUUUGUCAGAAUUCGAUGAUCCCAAAACUUUUAAAGAAGCAGUCUCAAAUAUAAAUGCUACCAAAUGGAUAGAAGCAAUGGAAAAUGAACUGGGAUCAAUGAAAAAUAACGAAGUCUGGGAGCUUGUAGAGAAAACAGAAAACAUGAAGCCAAUAGGUUGCAAAUGGUUAUUCAAGACUAAAAGAGAUUCGAAGGGAAACGUAGAGAGGCAAAAAGCGAGACUUGUAGCAAAAGGGUUUACUCAGAGAGAGGGAAUUGAUUAUAAAGAGACCUUCAGUCCUGUUUCAACAAAAGAUGAAUUUAGAGUUAUUAUGGCUAUCGUUGCACAUUUUGAUGUAAUCUUGCACCAAAUGGACGUCAAGACAGCGUUCUUAAAUGGUGACUUGGAAGAAUGCAUCUACAUGAAGCAACCAGAGGGAUUCAUAGAAGAAGGGAAUGAAAAUUCAGUUUGUAGAUUGAAAAAGUCAAUCUAUGGGUUAAAACAAGCAUCGAGACAAUGGUAUCUCAAGUUUCAUAGAGUUGUUAAAGUGAAUGGCUUUGUUGAGAAUUCUUCUGAUAACUGCAUAUACUUGAGGAUCAGUGGGAGUAGCUUCAUAAUAUUGGUUCUUUAUAUGGAUGUACAUACUACUUGCAAACGAACACAACUGCUUAUUGGAUGAAACCAAUGAAAUUGCUGCAAGAAAACUUUGAAAUGAAAGAACUUUGUUGGAAGCUUCAUAGAUGUUCUCGGUAUUCAAAAUUAAAAGAGAUAGGAAAGAGAAUGGAAUGCUUGGGGUUAUGUUUGCAAAAGGGUUACAUUGCAAGGUUUUAAAAAGAUUCAACAUGGCUUCUUGUGGCACUGGAAAUGCCAAUUCUUCAAAGGGGUUUACAAAUUAAGCAAAAGGAACAUUAAAUGUCCCAAGAAUGAGUUGGGAAGAAGUUUAAGUAGUCUGGAAGGCAAACAUGGAGAUAUGCCUCUCUGUUGGAAGCUUAAUGUUUUAUGGGGAGACAAGUGUGCACAAGAGAUGAUCUUCAGCUGAUUCAACAUCAGUGUUCUGUUGUGGAAGUGUUGUCAAGGAUCAGUUACACAGUGGCCAGAUUUGAGCAAUUUCCUAGAAUGCAGAAGCAGGGUAUUCGAUGUAUUCUUCAAAAGAAAGGAACAUAUGAAGUUAUUUCAGGGCGAAUUCUGCGUGAGCUUGUUAUUAGGUUAGGGUAAUCAGUUUUCAGUGAUGACUUGCAUUGCUUCUUCAGAAUGAACACUUCAGAUCUAUGGCAGCCUAGUGGUUAUUGUGUUUCCAUCGUGCUAUGGGCAGUUUGCAGUUUCAGUAAUUGCGUGUGAAGCAAACAAAUUGCAGCCUUUAAUGUUUGGUCUUAAUUCUCUUAUUGGUUAAAUGAGCUUUCAUAAUCAAUGGAUUAUUUUGUUUGUCGAAAAGGGUUUUCUCAUUUUGAGACCUUAAUUGUUGAUGGUUUCUUGGGGACCAAUUUAAAUGCUCUAUUUGAGGAAUUUAAUUAUGCAUUUUAUUGUCCCCUCAGUUGGAAGGAUACAGAUGCAAGAAGAUUUUAAUUUCAUAUUCUCAGAGGAAUUUAGAUAUCAAUAAAUAUCAGGUGAUUUGCAUCAGAGAGAAGUGUUUAUGGGAGGUAUUUUUUUGCUGAUGAAGAUUGGGUGACUAGAGAUCGAGCUUCUUUAGAUUGACGCAGAUCCUUUAUAAGAAAAGCUUCUUCAACUGGUGAGUUUUUCAAGAUGGUUGCAAAUUUUGCAAAGAUGGUCCUUUAGUCUAGUUUGAUGAUGUUACAUAAGUGGGAUGGCAUGAGUAAAUUUCGUAACGUAUGUUUUGUUAUUCAGGUCACAGUUCACAUGACUGAAGGGCAUUUUUUCAAUAAGUAUAUUGAAAUAAGUUUCUUGGACCUAUAGGGUGGAUUCCCCUUGCUACUUGUUGUGAUUAGUUUAAACUUGUGAAGUUGUUUCAAAGUUUUCUUCCCUUAUUAUGAUUGUGGGCUUUAUUCUCGAUGAAAGUUGCAGUAUUUGUAUAUGCCAUCUUAAUUGAUAUGCAUUACAAGAUGGUUUGGUACACAUUCCUAGAAGUCAGUAGGCAAAGAAAAAAUUUGUUUGCAAUGUGAACAUUUAAGAUUCAAAAUUUGAUCUAUUCAGAUUUUUGGGUUGCAUGAAGGGUGAGAAACUUAGUACAGACACAGUUGACACACUUAAUCUGUUGGAAGUUGAGGUUGUUGUGUUUUGUUAAUUUGUGAAAGUAAUUAUUAGAGUAUGGGUAAAUAUUGUUCGAUCGAUAAAAUUUGAACAUGUGUUUUUGACAUUACCCUUUUUAGUGUCUUCAUGAAUACUAAUUGAUUGACCUGAACGUGUUGUUUUGAGUCGUGAUUCAACCAAGUUGGGUGUUGAUCGAUCUCGUGGCCAUUUAAGAAUAGCUUCACAUAACGCCAGCUACUAUUUUGAAGUCAAGUGUUAGCUCUAGUGGUGGAGAAUGUAAGUUUAAUGAGAGAUGAACACUUUUUGUAUUCAUCUUUAGUUUUGGCUGACGUGAGGAUAUAAGAGAUUGGAAUUAACUAACGUUGUAUAGCUGAUAAGGAUUUUGUGUAAUUGGAGUUUUCAGCUAAAACAUAGUCACGAAGUGUUAAAAACACUUAUAAUGGAUGUGAAUGAUAGGUUUUUUUAAUGAGGUGAUUAGGUUAGAGAAUGAUUGGGAUUGCAUAAUCGUGUAGGUCAGAAGAGCAUUCAGGUCAUUAAUGAUCUGAUCAUCGUAUACAGUUUAAAAUCAAGGGGUCCUGCUUGCGCUCACAAAACACACGCAAACGUAAAAUACUCAGAUCCCAUUCAUUGAGCGAUUUGCAUUGUGCAGAAGAUUCAGAAGAUUCCUAGUUCCCAAGAGAUGUCUUCUUCAGGUAAGUGGUUACUUAUGGUACUGUGAUUAAUCUAUUCCGCUGAUUUUAUUUACAAUCAUCUUACAAGGGG